CCUACGGGAGGCAGCAGUGGGGAAUAUUGGACAAUGGGCGGAAGCCUGAUCCAGCCAUGCCGCGUGUGUGAAGAAGGCCUUUUGGUUGUAAAGCACUUUAAGCGAGGAGGAGGCUACUAGUAUUAAUACUACUGGAUAGUGGACGUUACUCGCAGAAUAAGCACCGGCUAACUCUGUGCCAGCAGCCGCGGUAAUACAGAGGGUGCGAGCGUUAAUCGGAUUUACUGGGCGUAAAGCGUGCGUAGGCGGCUGAUUAAGUCGGAUGUGAAAUCCCUGAGCUUAACUUAGGAAUUGCAUUCGAUACUGGUCAGCUAGAGUAUGGGAGAGGAUGGUAGAAUUCCAGGUGUAGCGGUGAAAUGCGUAGAGAUCUGGAGGAAUACCGAUGGCGAAGGCAGCCAUCUGGCCUAAUACUGACGCUGAGGUACGAAAGCAUGGGGAGCAAACAGGAUUAGAUACCCUGGUAGUCCAUGCCGUAAACGAUGUCUACUAGCCGUUGGGGUCUUUGAGACUUUAGUGGCGCAGCUAACGCGAUUAAGUUAGACCGCCUUGGGGAGUUACGGGUUCGCAAGGACUUAAAACGUUCAAAAUUGAAUUGACGG
rnacentral:rRNA from 1 species